CCUUGAGCUGUUGCAGAGGCAGCCAACUGCUCCAUAUUUGGCUUCUAUUACCCAUUUACAUGCUGGAGAGCGGAGAGGGAGCGAGCGCUGUACCGCAGACAUCAUUUCUACUACAGUGGUGGAGACAUCCCGGACCUGUGUCACUGCAGGGGGAAGGAAAAAAACCAAACAAACAAAAAGCAGACCCAAGCCCCGUGAUCAGCUAGGAAGACAUUUGUGUGCGAGUCUCUCUGAACCCCCACCCCCGCCAACCCCACCUCCACUGACACUUUACAUCACAUUGCAGGCCAAGCCAGAUGGGCAAGCAAUACAAGCUGUGAAUUUAUUCUUGACCCCGUAGGACAGUGACCACCGUCAUUUUUGUCUUCACCGUACAGUUAUGCACUGCCAGUAAGUGAAAAGGUCAAGAAAAGCAGUAGCUCAGUGGCUGAAUUUUUCUGAAGUGCUUUACAGCAGGGAAACUGGGGAAACCUCUUAAAGUGGUGUCUUAUUGAGUAAGUUAAACCUUUUUUCUUCAGUUAACUAGUUU